rnacentral:rRNA from 1 species
GACGAACGCUGGCGGCGUGCCUAAUACAUGCAAGUCGAGCGCAGGAAGCUGACGGAACUCUUCGGAGGGAAGGCAGUGGAAUGAGCGGCGGACGGGUGAGUAACACGUAAGGAACCUGCCUCAAGGAUUGGGAUAACUCCGAGAAAUCGGAGCUAAUACCGGAUAGUUCAACGGACCGCAUGGUCCGCUGAUGAAAGGCGCUUCGGCGUCACCUUGAGAUGGCCUUGCGGUGCAUUAGCUAGUUGGUGAGGUAACGGCCCACCAAGGCGACGAUGCAUAGCCGACCUGAGAGGGUGAUCGGCCACACUGGGACUGAGACACGGCCCAGACUCCUACGGGAGGCAGCAGUAGGGAAUCUUCCACAAUGGACGAAAGUCUGAUGGAGCAACGCCGCGUGAGUGAUAAAGGUUUUCGGAUCGUAAAACUCUGUUGUAAGGGAAGAACACGUACGAGAGGAAAUGCUCGUACCUUGACGGUACCUUACGAGAAAGCCACGGCUAACUACGUGCCAGCCGCCGCGGUAA